CCCAGUGCUCCUUGCCACCCUGAACGUGCCUGAUCUCAUGUGGUCUCAGAAGCUAAGCAGGGUCGGGCCUGGUUAGUACUUGGA
rnacentral:rRNA from 14 species